rnacentral:rRNA from 1 species
CCUACGGGUGGCAGCAGUGGGGAAUAUUGCACAAUGGGGGAAACCCUGAUGCAGCGACGCCGCGUGAGUGAAGAAGUAUUUAGGUAUGUAAAGCUCUAUCAGCAGGGAAGAAAAUGACGGUACCUGACUAAGAAGCUCCGGCUAACUACGUGCCAGCAGCCGCGGUAAUACGUAGGGUGCAAGCGUUAUCCGGAUUUACUGGGUGUAAAGGGAGCGUAGUCGGCGAGAUAAGUCAGAAGUGAAAGCCCAGGGCUCAACUCUGGGACUGCUUUUGAAACUGGCGGGCUGGAGUGUAGGAGAGGUAGGCGGAAUUCCUAGUGUAGCGGUGAAAUGCGUAGAGAUUAGGAGGAACACCAGUUGCGAAGGCGGCUUACUGGACUAUAACUGACGUUGAGGCUCGAAAGCGUGGGGAGCAAACAGGAUUAGAUACCCGUGUAGUC